rnacentral:rRNA from 1 species
UACGAAGGGGGCUAGCGUUGCUCGGAAUCACUGGGCGUAAAGCGCACGUAGGCGGCUUUUUAAGUCAGGGGUGAAAUCCUGGAGCUCAACUCCAGAACUGCCUUUGAUACUGAGAGCUUGAGUCCGGGAGAGGUGAGUGGAACUGCGAGUGUAGAGGUGAAAUUCGUAGAUAUUCGCAAGAACACCAGUGGCGAAGGCGGCUCACUGGCCCGAUACUGACGCUGAUGCACGAAGCGUGGGAGCA